rnacentral:lncRNA from 1 species
UGAAGAAAAUUUAGACAUUGCACCUCUGUAACAAGUGGACCAGCCCUGCUUUGCUGAAUGGGCGAAUUUUGCUUCCUCUACUGAAUGAUUGUGGCAACUGAUUUGGCAAUUAAAGCUUUCAAUUUCAAAUAAAUAUUCAUUGUAAUGUUGUAUAAUUUUGGAAGUAUUUUGAAUAAAUAUUCAUUGUAAUUUAGUAUUGAUUAUUUUGAAUAAAUAAAUAUUCAUUGUA